rnacentral:misc_RNA from 1 species
UGAAGUCUUUACAAGCAGUGGUAGCUCAUGGAUUGCUGUUUUGUUUCACUCUGCUUCUUGUUCUCAAGCUUGAUCGAGCCAUUCAUAAUUCUUGGUGGGUUGUUUUCGUUCCACUUUGGUUGUUUCAUGUGGUUGUAGCAAGGGGUAGAUUCUCAUUACCUGCUCCAUCAAUGCCUCAUGAUCGACAUUGGGCACCAUUUCAUGCUGUCAUGGCGACACCGCUGCUUGUUGCUUUUGAACUACUUCUUUGUAUCCAUCUCGACAGCGCCUAUGCUGUAAGUUUGAAGAUUGUGUUCUUUCCCCUGCUUGCACUUG